CCUCCUUCUCCCUCCUCUUGUGCUUCACUUCUUUAUGCGCGCGCACACGCGCACAAACACACACAGUCCUUGUAGCCCCCCCCCCCCUCCUCCCCCUCAGCUGUUCAGCAGACGCAUACACAUGGCUGACCUAGUCUUCGCUUAGACACAAUCACCUUUCAACUCAACACGAGACACAAAAAGAGAGUGGAGCAGAUUUAAAAUAAUUCUCAUGGGCAAGACGGUGGUAAGUGGUGGGUUGAGGGGUUUUAGGCACCGCGCAUGCGCGUUUGCAUUAAUGGCAAGUACGGUGGCCCACAAGCGAAGGUUUGUGGAGGUCACGCCUGUGUUUUACGCCAGGAAUUUGUAUAGCAGCACUAUUGAAUUCAAAUUAAUUUGUCUCAAAUAUUGAAACCAAGAAAUGUAGUAAGUCAAGAGUUUUCAUUGUUAAUUUUACGCUUCAAAGUUGAAACGGAUAUUCGUGGUAUCAAAAACUGUAGGAUUUCUUUUUAAAAUCUUGCGAACUGAGAUACCCUCUGCAUCUCUUGAAUGCAAUUACCGUAAUUUUCGGACUAUAAAUCGCUCCGGAGUAUAAAUCGUACCAGCCAUAAAAUGCCCAAAAGAAAAAAAAAGAAAACCAUAUAUAAGUCGCUCCGGAGUAUAAGUCGCAUUUUGGGGGGCAAUUUAUUAUUUUAUACACCAAGAACAGACAUGAACGAGCAACAACAGGCUAAACGAUACGGUAUGCUAACGUGACAAACACAAACGAGGAACUAUGAACGGGCCUGACGUAACAUUCAGUUAUUUUAAAAAAACUAUCACAUAAAUAACACGUUUAUAAAACCAUCUGUGUCACUCCAAUUCAUUAAAUCCAUCGAUCGUCUUUUGUCAACAAUGCCGUGUGCCGCGCCGCAGUUCAAAUUAUUCCACAGGCCCAUUCAAUGAUAUAUAAACUAUAUUUUAAAUAACUAUCACAUAAACAACAAUAUUAUCAAACCAUUUGUGUCACUCCAAAUCAUUAAAUCCAUCGAUCAAAUUUCUCGUCCCUUAUGUCAUCCUGGUGACAGAGGACAUGUCCAGAGGAUAUGGCGCUUUAAAGUGUUAAUUACUUUAUUUGAUUUUUUCUCUCUAUUUUUCAUGUUUUGAAUACGUUCAAGAUAAAGAUAUCAAAGAAUGGGAAGUGAUCAACUAUACUAAAAAUAACAUGUGAAGUGGUCAACUAUACUCGUAAGUAAGUGAUGUGUUAAAGAUCAAGUAAAAAUAUGUGAAAAUAAACAUAUAUAAGUCACUCCUGAGUAUAAAUCGCCCCCCCACCCAAACUAUGAAAAUAACCGCGACUUAUAGUCCGAAAAUUACGGUAAUUCAGGCAGGCUGGACCCACAGGCUGGUUCACUCUGUAGUUGGUCCUGGGCCACAUGUGGCUCACGGGAUGCAAAGUGAAUAGUUUUGCUGUAUGGAGUAACAAAAUCAUCACAGAACAUGCCCGGGGGAAAAAAAUAUUUUUAGCCUUUAUUGUUCCACCAUGGGAAGUUUUUAAUGCUGCUGUAAUGUUUGACAAACUUCCAGGCAAUCAUAUUGUGAAAUCACACCACCAGAAGAUAAAGAGUGAUAGAUACACUGUGAGUUGUAAACUCCUGAUUUGGUCAGUAGAUCAAGAAGCUACAGAAGCCACUAAAGGAAAAAAAUAUAUAUAGAUAUUAAAUAUUUUGAUCGGAGGCUCUAAAUUAACCAUAGGUGUGGAGGUGAGUGACAAUGAAUGUUUGCAUAUCCACUAUGUGCCCUGCAAUCAUCUUGUAAUUAAUUCAGGGUUCCCCCUUCACUCACACAAAGUCAGCUGGGAUAGGCUCCACUUACGUGUGACCCUAGUGAGGAUGAGCAGAAAAUGGUUGGAUGAGGUCAUCUUGAAACAAUAUUUUGUCAUCAUGCAUAAGCUGAUGUUGAUUGACUAGACAAUGGCCAAAUAAAGGCAUGCACAGGUAAUGUUCAAAAUUGUAUUUUUAAUUCUAUUUUGCAUUUCACUAAGGAGUGAAUUAUGUGGUCCGCUAUGUAGGAAUAAGAUAAAGAAGACUAGGGAGUAGGGAAUGAGUGAACGAUUGUGAAAACAGCGCUCGUCAACACUCGGAUCACAUCACCUCUCAAUUUGACACCACUCAAACCAAAAUAUGUUGAAACCAAAUCGUGGAGCAGAUUUAAAAUAAUAACCAAGGGCAAGACAAUGGCAGUUUGAUUGAUGGCGCAAGAGGAGGGGAACGACAUUGGCACCAUACAUGCAUGUUUGCAUAGGCUGGUCAACGAGAUCUGCUUUGCGGGAUUUGAAGUGAAAUACUUUAGGAAUAUAUUUUUUUCAUACAGACAAUAUACUGUAAAUUUAAGUACAAUGAAUAAAUACAUCAAUAAAUCUACGGCUGACCUGGCCUAUCAGUUUGUUUUAAAAAUGUGCACAAAUGUUCCCCCACCCCUGUUUGAGUGGGAAGACACGCCGGCAGCGAGAAGCAAAUGGAGGCUGUUCAGGCUUGGAGAGCUCAUUUGCAUUUUGGGAUAAUGAAUUAAUUAGUUACCCUGCCCAUUAAAAAACGGGCAGGGAGAAUCACGUGAUUAGUCCAUUUACAAUAUUACAAAUGGUCCCAUUGUAACAAUUACAGAGCGCCUCUCGUCAAAUGUAUUCACGGGGAUUUUAGUGCUAAAAUGACAAUUUGCUUUGUCUCCACAAAAACAGCUCAAUCCAAUCCAGCCCUACCCAAGUGUUGGUAAAACAGCAGGGCUGCGCUAAGUUAUGAAACAACAGCAGUAUUUCCAUUUCAUUGAGCAGGUGGUUUGACACAUUUUCAUUGUCUAAAACACGAUAUUGGAUCACUGUCAGAAUCCAAUUAACCAAAGCAAAUAGUCAGCGCGAUGGGCUCUUUUUGCACAGAAGCCAAACAUGAGCAGGAGAGACAGGCAGUGGGGAUCAAUAGAAAUUGAGUUGAAGGUAGUGUGUUCUCAUGUGUGAGUGUAUGUGUGUGCAUUGGGGGGGGGAUCCUUCAUUGUCCUACAAAGCAUGUGUGCCGUCUCUUUUUCAAUAGAGGCAAGGGGGCGGGGGUGGUGGUGUUUUCUCCUAUAUGCAACCUCUUUCAGCUCUACCCGCUGCUCUGGUGGAUUGGGUUGCAGGCAACGCGGCCUGUCCCAGGUGACUUAGUGCCAAAAACGGACUACACCUUGGACUGGUCUAGAGUCAAGCACAGGACAAAUGUGAAGACAGAAAAGCAGCACUUACACUAAGCUAAUCUAAAGCGCGACGCUACCCAACAUUGGGUGGUGCCGGCUCAUCUUUACGUUGGCCCGGGAGAGGAGAAGGAGCGGCAAAAAAUCCUACGACACGGCUUUGCUGAGCAAAGCUGGAUAUGGGCUGACGGGCGCCAGUUCCCGUGGUGGAUGAGAUCCCAUUAUCGGGCCCACGAGAACUCCACCUCCAGGAUUUCACAGCUCCUCUGUUUAUCACAAGGCUCUGUCAAGUUGGGCACCGUUAACCGAUAAUGAAAGGAGACAACCGGUGCAGUUACAAGCGAAGCAGUCCCACAUUCUACAGGCCUAAGCAUGUAUCUGAGAAGCUGACUGUGUCUAUUCAUUUCUAUUCAAUUUUCAAACAAUCCAUCACAAUCCCUUUUUGCCUCCCAUGAGCACCUCCUCCUACACUACUUUCGAUCCACGCGGCACCAAAAAAUGCUCAAUAUGAUUACAUCAUGUUUUUAACAUUUAGCUGCUCCACAAUUCUCCAAAUUGAGCUGGUGCCUCUAUCAUCAUAUCACCGUUGAUGAAACAUAUUGGAACAUAAGAUAUCGAUAAGAUACCGUCAUAUCUCCGUUGAUGAAACAUAUUGAAACAUGAGCUACUCUGAUUUAUUCAGUCACUGAUCAAAGUCCAAAAAUGCAUUCCCCUCCCACCUCGGUUACAUUACUUCAUAGUAAGCUGUCCCCACUUGCACUCAUUAUAAAUAAAUACUUAACAAAAGCUGUGGCAGGCACAAUCAACCCACAUAGGCACACGCACUGUUUGCUUUAGCCUGAUCGCACAACAACCCACUCAGAGGCA